rnacentral:ncRNA from 1 species
CCUAUUGUUCCGUCAAUAGUAGCCUAACGAUACAUGCAUUACCGGUAACAGUUUUGUGUGAAGCUAUCGUGACAACGUAACCCUCCUUAAGUUUUAACCGUGAGGUGAAGAGCGAAAGCCGUAAGUAUCCGUCGGCUGGGG